CCCUGGCACCUGUGGGGACAUUCUGGGCACCCCUGGGGACAUUCUGGGCACCUGUGGGUCCUCAGCACCCACUGGGAUGGUCAGACCCUGUCCCCAGGUGACCCCAUGUCCUAUCCCUGUCCCUGAGUGUCCCCUCCAUGUGUCCCUGUCCCCAGGUGACCCCGUGUCCUGUGUGUGACCCUGUCCAAGUGACCCCAUGUCCCCUCCGUGUCCUCACAUGACCCCUGUCCUGUCCCUGUGUCCCUGUCCCUGGGUGACCCUGUGACCCCAGGUGGCCCCUUGUCCCCUCCAUGUCCCCAGGUGACCCCGUGUCCUGUCCCUUUGUGUCCCCAAGUGACCCCAUCUCCUGUCCGUGUGUCCCUGUCCCCAGGUGACCCCGUGUCCUGUCCCUGUCCCCAAGUGUCCCCUCCAUGACCCUGUCCCCAGGUGACCCUGUGUCCCCUCCAUGACACUGUCCCUGAGUGUCCCCUCCAUGACCCUGUCCCCCGGUGACCCCAUGUCCUGUCCCUGUCCCCGAGUGUCCCCUCUGUGACCCUGUCCCCAGGUGACCCUGUGUGACACUGUCCCCAGGUGUCCCCUCCUUGUGUCCCUGUCCCCAGAUGACCCCACGUCCUGUGUGUCCCUGUCCCCAGGUGACCCCGUGCCCUGUCCCUGUCCCUGAGUGUCCCCUCCAUGUGUCCCUGUCCCCAGGUGACCCUGUGUGACACUGUCCCUGAGUGUCCCCUCCGUGUGUCCCUGUCCCCAGGUGACCCUGUGUCCCCUCCGUGUGUCCCUGUCCCCUGGUGACCCCGUGCCCUGUCCCUGUCCCCAGGUGACCCCGUGCCCUGUCCCUAUCCCCAGGUGACUCCUCUGUCCCUGUCCCCAGGUGACCCCAUGUCCUGUCCCUGUCCCCAGGUGUUCCCUCUGUGUGUCCCUGUCCCCAGGUGACCCU